rnacentral:lncRNA from 1 species
AUGGGAAGGAUACAACUCCAACAAGCAUGGAAAGGAUACAACUCCAACAAGCAUGGGAAGGAUACAACACCAACAAGCAUGGGAAGGAUACAACUCCAACAAGCAUGGGAAGGAUACAACACCAACAAGCAUGGGAAGGAUACAACACCAACAAGCAUGGGAAGGAUACAACUCCAACAAGCAUGGGAAGGAUACAACACCAACAAGCAUGGGAAGGAUACAACUCCAACAAGCAUGGGAAGGAUGCGACACCAACAUCAACAAGCAUGGGAAGGAUACAACACCAAAAAGCAUGGGAAGGAUGCGACACCAACUCCAACAAGCAUGGGAAGGAUGCGACACCAACAUCAACAAGCAUGGGAAGGAUGCAGCACCAACACCAAAAAGCAUGGGAAGGAUACAACACCAACACCAACAAGCAUGGGAAGGAUACAACACCAACACCAACAAGCAUGGGAAGGAUACAACACCAACACCAACAAGCAUGGGAAGGAUACAACACCAACACCAACAAGCAUGGGAAGGAUACAACACCAACAAGCAUGGGAAGGAUACAACACCAACAAGCAUGGGAAGGAUGCAGCACCAAAAAGCAUGGGAAGGAUGCAGCACCAAAAAGCAUGGGAAGGAUGCAACACCAAAAAGCAUGGGAAGGAUGCAACACCAAAAAGCAUGGGAAGGAUGCAACACCAAAAAGCAUGGGAAGGAUGCAGCACCAAAAAGCAUGGGAAGGAUGCAACACCAAAAAGCAUGGGAAGGAUGCAACACCAAAAAGCAUGGGAAGGAUACAACACCAAAAAGCAUGGGAAGGAUGCAGCACCAAAAAGCAUGGGAAGGAUGCAACACCAAAAAGCAUGGGAAGGAUGCAACACCAAAAAGCAUGGGAAGGAUUUUCUGAAUGAAUGGCGACAGGAGACAGAACAGAACUACAGGAAUAGAGUGGUUGAAGUCAGGAAACGACGAGAGAGCUGCUGCAACACACAGGCUGAAUCCACAAAAUGGCACCCGACCUAUUCCCUUCAUAGUGCACUACAUUUGACCAGAGUCCAUAGGGCUCUAAAGUAG